rnacentral:lncRNA from 1 species
CUCUUCCCAAGAGCUCUAGUUGAAGGUGGGAAGACACAGCACAGUGUCAGGUUUCUGGGUAACAGCAGGUCCAGUCAGGAGAAAAUAAAUCCCACUGGCUAUUUUAAUUUUUUAAAAUUUAUUUAUUUAUUUAUUUAUUUAUUUAUUUUUGUGGUACGCAGGCCUCUCACUGUUGUGGCCUCUCCCUUUUGCAGAGCACAGGCUCCGGACGCGCAGGCUCAGCGGCCAUGGCUCACGGGCCUAGCCACUCCGCGGCAUGUGGGAUCUUCCCAGACCGGGGGACGAACCCGUGUCCUCUGCAUCGGCAGGCGGACUCUCAACCACUGCGCCACCAGGGAAGCCCCACCACUGGCUAUUUUUAGAGAAUUUAAGGUUAGUCACAUUUGCAUGAGGAACACAGAGCCUUUUGAGAAAGAAGAUCUGAAACCACUGAACACUGCUAUUCAGGACCAGAGCAGAUUUAAAUCAAGAUGCAGUGGCAAGAGAGAGCAACAAGUUCCCUGGAAUUAAAUUAUCUGGAGGAAAAAGGGAGUCUAUGCUGGUGACCAAUGCCCAUAACAAAGACCGAAGUAUUGCUGAGGGAACAAAACUACGUUUUCCACAGUGGAGUUUGGGGACCUCUUAGUAUAUAGUCAUCUGAUACUCUACUGUGCUUUGGGAUAUAUUCUAAGCAUACGGGUGUGAAGGAUGAGAGCUGUGACCUCAGAGGCAGACUGUGGAACCUCAAGGCUGUGCAGCCAGGGAGUCUAAACAGGAUGGCGUUACUGCAAGGCAUAGAGAAACGCUUUGUUGCUGACAUGUCAGUAUUGCUGCCCUGUGGCUAUAAGUAGGAAUAGCAAUACUUUAGUUCUCAACCUCUGCUUGUUUAUGAAAGGGGACUGACAACUCUGAAAAACUGGCAUUCCAACACUCAGGGGGAGUGGUAGUGAGUAGCUUCAAGAAGAAAAUACUGUACUUCCUGCUCAUAAGCACGUGGGGAGCUGAAUGAUUAAUUUAAAAAAUAAAAGGGAUA